rnacentral:rRNA from 1 species
UACAGAGGGGGCAAGCGUUAUUCGGAAUUAUUGGGCGUAAAGGGCGCGUAGGCGGCCUGGCAAGUGGAAGGUGAAAUCCCUCGGCUUAACCGAGGAACUGCCCUCCAAACUGCUUGGCUUGAGUCCGGGAGAGGUGAGUGGAAUUCCCAGUGUAGCGGUGAAAUGCGUAGAUAUUGGGAGAAACACCAGUGGCGAAGGCGGCUCACUGGACCGGAACUGACGCUGAGGCGCGAAAGCGUGGGGAGCAAACGGG